rnacentral:tRNA from 1 species
GCAUCCGUGGCUCAAUUGGUAGAGCAACUGACUCUUAAUCAGUGGGUUGGAGGUUCGAGUCCUCCCGGAUGCA